CUGUCUAAACUAGAUGAAACACAUAGUUUUUAUAGACAUCCAUUUGUGCGUCUUUGAUGCAUAGUGAUUUUUUUAAAAUUUUUUGAGAUCCACGACUUUUAGGGAGCAACCAGUUUAACAUACAUUUUUGGAGUACCAGCCAAGAAAACAAGGAAAAGCUCUGGGAGUUUGUCACCAACUUUUUCUCUUUCCUUGUCUUUCCGGUAGUCAUAAAAUAUUCUCACCGAUCUCUGUUUACUUUCUCUAAGAAUUAUUUUUGUUUGUUCUUAUGCUUUUUCGUGGUUCAUCCUGAAGAAUUAGGCUACAUACAAGAUUACUUACAGAAAUAUGUGAUAUUUCUUAUGAUUAUUGAGUACUUCAUGUCUAAGUACUUCAAAAAUCCUAAAUUCAGGAUGUCGAGAUUGAAGAGACGGUUGAUGUCAUAAUAUCUGAAUGGAUGGGCUACACGCUCCAGUAUGAGUGCAAUUUUUGCCAGAGAUAAAUGGCUCAAACCAGGAGGACUUAUUCUUCCUUCUCACGCCUCGCUUUACAUGGCAGCCGUUACCAAUUCUGAACGGUAUCAUGAGAGCAUUCACUUCUGGCAUAAUGUUUAUGGAAUUAAAAUUGAGCCUGGUUCAGUACUUCUGCAAUAUGUCUUCUAGAUCAUGCUUAUCAAGUGGAUCAUGGACAAUACUACGUAGAAAUGGAAAUUGGAAAUGCAAUUGCUUCAGAUUCAUCGAUCCUGAUGUCAUUCACAAUGCAGUGUCUGCUUUGAUUCCUUUUGCAAAACUAACUGCAUUAGAGGAACCUUCCGUUGAGACAAUUAAAGGAGAAAAUGUUUGACUUGGCCAUCGUUGGUUACAGAAGUGGAUUGCUAUACGGUAAGAGUUCAAGAGGUUAAAACCGUCAGAGCAAAGUGUUAAGUUUUCAUCGAUGCUGCAAG